rnacentral:snRNA from 1 species
GUGCUUGCUUCAGCAGCACAUAUACUAAAAUUGGAAUGAUACAGAGAAGAUUAGCAUGGCCCCUGGGCAGGGAUGACAUGCAAAUUUGUGAAGCAUUCCAUAUUUGU